rnacentral:snRNA from 1 species
GGAUGUGAGGGGGAUCUGGCUGCAAACAUCUUGCACCACCAUUGAUUGGCCAGGGUAGAUCUGGCUGAUCUGACUGACUAGGCAGGUAGUUCUCCUCCCUCCCUCAGCACUCCCAUGUGCCGUUCUUCCCUAAAGCUGAGUGCUGCCUGAAAGAGGAUGGCCAUCCCAGAAUAAGAGACGGAUGGGUCUUCUGUCAAAGGUAUACGAGUAGCUGCACUCCCCUGGUAGAACCUCCAAACAAGCUCUCAAGAAAGUCAUCUUUCAGUACGUAUCUGCACAAAGCACUUCUGCUAAUGUAGGGAUGAAUCUGUUACUUAUUAGUACUACCACACAGUGAUAAAUUUAUAUCCAUUAUCU